CUCCCUCCUCCUCUCCCCUUCCCAUUUCGCCGAUCCCACCCACGGCGGCGCCGCCACCGCCACCGCCACCGCCCACCGGACUUUGUGUAGAGAGCUCGAUGGGAAUCCGCGGCGGCGGAGGAGACCGGCCGGCUCAUGGAGGGGAAGAUGCAGGGCCACGCGUGGAGGAGGCCGGCUCAUGCUUCUUCUUCUCCGUCGAUGGGGACAGCACGUAAUGGAGUUGGCAUGAUUGAAUUACAGGAUGUUCCUGCUCACUGAAACAAGUAAAUGAUGACAUGAAAGGCCGAAAGCAGUGUGUUUCUACCCAGGUUUGAUCCAAGCUUGUGUCGGCUGAAAAUUCAUCAUCUCUUAUCAUGUGCUAGCCCGCCUUGAUUGAUUGAUGCUACUGGACAGUUUGGGAUUGGUAAUUUUCUGGGAGUGCCUUAUGGGGACCAUCUCCCAUCAAUUGUUACUUGCCUCCUGAAUUACAUUUAACUGUGCUAUCUUGUUUGCAAUUCAGGUAAAGUCUCUGUUUAGGCUGUAUCAAUCAUGCAUGUGAACUAGUUAAUGCAAAGGACCUAGGAAUUGAUGAAAGUAUUAGGCAUCAGCAUCAAUGGAUUAGCAGCAGCUUCUAUCAUCCUGACUCAAUUCUGUACUCCCAGGGACAGCAGUUGCCUGCUGAUGUUGCUAGGCCACUAGUACUAUGUAGUAGUAUACAUUACAUUGGAUAUCUCAAUCAUUUGAUUAAACUGUAUAAUUUUUCGGCGAAAGCUACCUUUGAAUGGUGAUGUGGUUAGUUUGUAGAUCAUGCACUGACUAAAUUAAGUUUUCCUCUAAUGAAAAUGGUAGAAGGUUUACUCUGUAUGUAAUGGAACACAUGUAAUUUUUGUAUGCUUUAAUAUGAAAAUACCCAUGCAGUUUAUCAGUUUGU
rnacentral:sRNA from 1 species